AAUAUUGGACAAUGGGCGAAAGCCUGAUCCAGCAAUGCCGCGGGAGUGAUUAAGGCGUUAGGGUUGUAAAGCUCUUUUACCGGGGAUGAUAAUGACAGUACCUGGAGAAUAAGCUCCGGCUAACUCCGUGCCAGCAGCCGCGGUAAUACGGAGGGAGCUAGCGUUGUUCGGAAAUACUGGGCGUAAAGCGUACGUAGGCGGCAUCGUAAGUCAGGCGUGAGAUCCCGGGGCUCAACCCCGGAACUGCCCUUGAAACUGACGUGCUAGCAUCUUGGCGAGGCGAGUGGAAUUCCGAGUGUAGAGGUGAAAUUCGUAGAUAUUCGGAAGAACACCAGUGGCGAAGGCGACUCGCUGGACAAGUAUUGACGCUGAGGUGCGAAAGCGUGGGGAGCAAAC
rnacentral:rRNA from 1 species